UACCAGCUCUCCGAGUAGUGUGGAUGUUUAUUGGGCCUAAAGCAUCCGUAGCUUGCUAAGCAAGUCCCCUGUUAAAUCCACCGAUUCAAUCGGUGGAUUGCGGGGGAUACUGUUUGGCUAGGGGACGGGAGAGGCCGACGGUAUUUCCGGGGUAGGGGUGAAAUCCUAUAAUCCCGGGAAGACCACCAGUGGCGAAGGCUGUCGGCUAGAACGCGCCCGACGGUGAGGGAUGAAAGCUGGGGGAGCGAACCGGAUUAGAUACCCGGGUAGUCCCAGCUGUAAACGAUGCAGGCUAGGUGUUUGGGCGGCCACGAGCCGCUCUAGUGCCGCAGGGAAGCUGUUAAGCCUGCCGCCUGGGGAGUACGGCCGCAAGGCUGAAACUUAAAGGAAUUGGGCGGGGGAGCACCGACAAGGGGUGAAGCUUGCGGUUU
rnacentral:rRNA from 1 species